UGAGGAAUAUUGGUCAAUGGAGGCAACUCUGAACCAGCCAAGUCGCGUGAAGGAAGACGGCCCUACGGGUUGUAAACUUCUUUUGUACAGGAAUAAAACCAUCCACGUGUGGAUAUUUGCAUGUACUGUACGAAUAAGGAUCGGCUAACUCCGUGCCAGCAGCCGCGGUAAUACGGAGGAUCCGAGCGUUAUCCGGAUUUAUUGGGUUUAAAGGGUGCGCAGGCGGGAUGUUAAGUCGGCGGUGAAAUUUUGCGGCUCAACCGUAAAAGUGCCUUCGAAACUGGCAUUCUUGAGUAUAGAUGAAGUAGGCGGAAUUUGUGGUGUAGCGGUGAAAUGCAUAGAUAUCACGAGGAACUCCGAUUGCGCAGGCAGCUUACUAAACUAUAACUGACGCUCAUGCACGAAGGCGUGGGGAUCAAACAGG
rnacentral:rRNA from 1 species